CGUGAGUAAUCUGCCCUCCACUUUGGGAUAGCCACCGGAAACGGUGAUUAAUACCGGAUAUGACCAUUUCUCGCAUGGGUUUUGGUGGAAAGUUUUUCGGUGGGGGAUGUGCUCGCGGCCUAUCAGCUUGAUGGUGGGGUAAUGGCCUACCAUGGCUUCGACGGGUAGCCGGCCUGAGAGGGUGACCGGCCACACUGGGACUGAGACACGGCCCAGACUCCUACGGGAGGCAGCAGUGGGGAAUAUUGGACAAUGGGCGGAAGCCUGAUCCAGCAACGCCGCGUGAGGGAUGACUGCCUUCGGGUUGUAAACCUCUUUCAGCACAGACGAAGCGAAAGUGACGGUAUGUGCAGAAGAAGCACCGGCCAACUACGUGCCAGCAGCCGCGGUAAUACGUAGGGUGCGAGCGUUGUCCGGAAUUAUUGGGCGUAAAGGGCUCGUAGGCG
rnacentral:rRNA from 1 species